rnacentral:rRNA from 1 species
AUGGUGUCUCGGGGGAAGGAGGAGGAGGAGGAGGCGGCCGCCGGGUGGGAGGGGGAGAAGGAGGGGGAGAUCGACUACGUGUUCAAGGUGGUGGUGGUGGGCGACUCGGCGGUGGGCAAGACGCAGCUGCUGGGGCGCUUCGCCAAGGACCAGUUCUUCCUCGACUCCAAGUCCACCAUCGGCGUCGAGUUCCAGACCCGCACCCUCACCCUCCACCGCAAGCAAGUCAAGGCGCAGAUCUGGGACACCGCCGGGCAGGAGAGGUACCGGGCGGUGACGAGCGCCUACUACCGGGGCGCGCUGGGCGCCAUGGUGGUGUACGACGUGACCCGGCGCGCCACCUUCGACCACGUGCCCCGCUGGGUGGAGGAGCUCCGCGCCCACGCCGACGGCUCCACCGUCGUCGCGCUCGUCGGUAACAAGGCCGACGCGCCGCCGCACCGCCGCGAGGUGCCCGCCGACGAGGCCGCGCGGUUCGCCGAGGAGCAGGGGCUCUUCUUCUCCGAGGCGUCGGCGCUCACGGGCGACAACGUGGAGCGCGCCUUCCUCGCGCUCCUCGAGGAGGUCUUCGCCGUCGUCUCCCGCCGGGCGCUGGAGCUCGACGAGGCGCGGCGGACGCGCAACGGCGGUGGUCACGACGGCGAGACGCUGUCGCUGAGGGGCACCACGGUGGACCUGCACGACCCCAUCAUGGAGACCAGCGCCAUGAAGAAGACCGCCUCCUCGCAGUGCUCCUGCUCGUGA